rnacentral:rRNA from 1 species
UACGGAGGGUGCAAGCGUUAUCCGGAAUCACUGGGUUUAAAGGGUGCGUAGGCGGCUGUAUAAGUCAGGGGUGAAAGUCCGCAGCUUAACUUCGGAACUGCCUUUGAUACUGUAGAGCUUGAAAGAGGUUGAGGUCAGCGGAACGUGACAUGUAGCGGUGAAAUGCAUAGAUAUGUCACAGAACACCAAUUGCGAAGGCAGCUGGCUGGGCCUACUUUGACGCUGAGGCACGAAAGCGUGGGGAGCGAACAGG